rnacentral:misc_RNA from 1 species
GAACGCACCUUGCGCCCUUUGGUCUUUCCAAUGGGCAUGCCUGUUUGAGUAUCGUGAACACCUCAACUCUCAUGGUUUGCCAUGAUGAGCUUGGACUUUGGGGGUCUUGCUGGCCUGUGGUCGGCUCCUCUCAAACAGAUCAGCUUGCCAGUGUUUGGUGGCACCACGGGUGUGAUAACUAUCUACGCUUGUGGUUUUCUGCCAGGUAACCUCCAGUGAUGGAGGUUCGCUGGGGCUCACAAAUGUCUCUCCUCAGCGAGGACAGCUUUUUGAACGUUUGAUCUCAAAUCAGGUAGGACUACCCGCUGAACUUAAG